AUAAAACUUCUUAGUUCCUUAACUCUAUAGCGAAAUUUUAGUUAUAAUUUUACGUAAUCCUAAAAAUUACUUUGACCGACUUGAUAGAAGUAAGACGUACUGUACCUCUCGUCGGGUGCCAUCAAAAAGCACCCGUGAGACUAAUAACGUGAAACGGAAACCGUAAGAAAUAGUCAGUGAUCGACGUGCUUUGAUUCUAAAUGUAAAAAUGUUGUGAAGAAAAUAAUCAGAGGCAAGAGCAGCUUCAAAUAGCUAUAAUUUAUAUAUUCAAAAAAACAGACAGGAUGAAGUAUCAAAACAAUAGAAAACUACAAUGCUUUAAUUAAUCUCUGUAUUAAUAUCAUAUGAAGGAAAUGCUCUCUAUAAUUAAACAAAUAGCUGCAUAUCUUGUCACAACAGUUUCUGUAGUUUGCAAGAGCACUACGAACUACGAAGCUCAAUGGGGACCAAUAGAAAGUCAGAAUUUGGAGCCCAGAGGGCAACGUUCCCUCUAAUUUGUAAUGGCUUGUGUGUGCAAAAAAAUCAAAAAGUUGUGCAAAUUUUUCCCCAGUGACUUAAGCUUUUGCGCACUAAAUUGGGUACAUGUAAAAUUGUAAACCAGAAAUUAUUUUUGUUGUUGAUAUAGAAGCAUAGAGAUCCAAACGACCGGGACAGCGAUUCAACGAGCCCAGUCAUAGAGAGAGAGUUCGGAGCAAGCAUGAGCAGUGAGCUGUCCUGGCCUGGGACACAGGAGGGAUCUGGAAGUCCUUCACUGAGUUCACGGUGAGGAAAGGGAUGGGAACACCCCCUCCAUCCCAAAGGCAGUAGCUACACUAUUCCAUUAAAUUCCCUUCGCAGCAGAGGUCCUUUGGAAAGGCCGUUUCCAGUCCCAGGAUCAUCAAGUCCAGUUUGGCCUGGAAUGGCAUGCUUCUUCUGUGCUAUUCAUCAGUGCAGUCUGUUCAUCCAGGUGCCACAGAAGAAAAAACUAGCAGGCAGGAUAUUACGUUUUGGUGGCAUGAUAAUAAAUUCCCAACAUUUCUUUGUCA